GUGUUCUCACCGGUGCACUUCGUUUGGUUAAGGCCAGCAUCAGUUUUCGUAGGGGGAUAAAGACUUUAGGAAUGUGGCUCCUCGGAGUGUUAUAGCCUAUUGUGUAAUACCUUUAUGGGGACUGAGGUACGCGUUCGCAAGGAUGCUGGCAUAAUGGUCAUCAGCGACCCGUCUUGAAACACGGACCAAGGAGUC
rnacentral:rRNA from 1 species